rnacentral:rRNA from 1 species
UACGUAGGGAGCAAGCGUUGUCCGGAAUCAUUGGGCGUAAAGCGCGCGUAGGCGGCUUCAUAAGUCCGUUGUGAAAGUCAAAGGCUCAACCUUUGAAAGCCGAUGGAUACUGUGGAGCUAGAGUACGGAAGAGGCGAGUGGAAUUCCAGGUGUAGCGGUGAAAUGCGUAGAUAUCUGGAGGAAUACCGGUGGCGAAGGCGGCAUCCUGGACCGGCAUUGACGCUGAGGAGCGAAAGCCAGGGAGCAAAGCGGG